rnacentral:misc_RNA from 1 species
GUUUCCAUGGUCCGUGGGGUUAUCUGCUUUAUCGCCUUAAUUCCGUGAUAGAAAUUUCUCUUACAUCCCCGAAGCGGCAUGUUUCGCCCUUAUGGCGUGUUAUCCAUGUACCGCUAUUCUCUCGAUUUUCGAUUAUUUACAAGAGUCCUUCCAAGGGUCUCGUUCCGACGCACCUCGUCAAUCUGCGGCCAACCCUCGGCUGACAACAGUUGAUGGCAUUCCCAGGGUGGCUGGAAAAUUCUACAACCGCGCCGAUGGGACGCGUCAUGCGGAAAUUCCCUUGCAUCCCCGAUAACGACGUGGGAUUCUCGAGAUCGCCUAAGAAGGAUCGCUCUUCCAGCCUGCCAGGAGGUACUCGAAAACGCUGCCAGGUGACGGAACGAGACACAAGGGAGGCGAUUUUUCAGUUUUGGUUGGAAAACUGCCGAGUUGUAUUAAGAAGAGGGAAUACGUGGCACGUUGUGUCUUGCGGCGAAGAUAGAGACACCCGACGAUAUAGUUGGCGGUGGUAAAUACUCGCAUCCCUUAUCGGCCCUCGUCACGACUGUUUUUAUUGCGGUAUGGCUUGGGGCGAUAGAGAGGAAGAGAGAGAGGAACAGCGAUCGCUCUCCACACGAAGUUGCACUUCGGUCUGGGACUCUCAUUUGUUGGGCGCACAAUGGUAACGAGAGAUGAUCCUUCUCGACGACGAGCGAAAUUCAACCGCGAUAUGAGAUACAACGGAGUCGCGUAAUCAGACCGAUUUAUGGAGCAACGAAUUCAUGUGUGCGUGGACAUUACGUUUACACACAGAAGGCGUACGUAAAUUAGCGAUUUGCCUCAGUCGGCUUGACGGCGAGCACAUUCCUCGCCUCGAUGCUCGCCGGAAUCGCUGGGUCCGUAUUCGUGCAUUUUGGAGCACGAUUACGGUUUAUUCCUUUUCUUUUUCUUUUUUUAAAGAAGAGCCGGGAAGUUUGUAAUCCGCGAUUGGCCUUGGUAAGCCAGCUCGAUGGCCGAUACAAGGUAAUGACCCUGGUCACGUUCAGGUGCACAUGUACCCGUUCUUUGCAAUGGUCGGUCGAAUCCACUCGAAAGACGAAAAAAUAAAAAGGCGAUUAUGGA